rnacentral:rRNA from 1 species
AACGAACGCUGGCGGCAUGCCUAACACAUGCAAGUCGAACGAGACCUUCGGGUCUAGUGGCGCACGGGUGCGUAACACGUGGGAACCUGCCCUUAGGUUCGGAAUAACUCCCCGAAAGGGGUGCUAAUACCGGAUAAUGUCUUCGGACCAAAGAUUUAUCGCCUUUGGAUGGGCCCGCGUUGGAUUAGCUAGUUGGUAGGGUAAAAGCCUACCAAGGCGACGAUCCAUAGCUGGUCUGAGAGGAUGAUCAGCCACACUGGGACUGAGACACGGCCCAGACUCCUACGGGAGGCAGCAGUGGGGAAUAUUGGACAAUGGGCGAAAGCCUGAUCCAGCAAUGCCGCGUGAGUGAUGAAGGCCUUAGGGUUGUAAAGCUCUUUUACCCGGGAUGAUAAUGACAGUACCGGGAGAAUAAGCUCCGGCUAACUCCGU